AACGAACGCUGGCGGCAGGCUUAACACAUGCAAGUCGAGCGCCCCGCAAGGGGAGCGGCAGACGGGUGAGUAACGCGUGGGAACGUACCCUUAUCUUCGGAAUAGCUCCGGGAAACUGGAAUUAAUACCGAAUGUGCCCUUAGGGGGAAAGAUUUAUCGGAUAAGGAUCGGCCCGCGUUGGAUUAGGUAGUUGGUGGGGUAAAGGCCUACCAAGGCGACGAUCCAUAGCUGGUCUGAGAGGAUGAUCAGCCACAUUGGGACUGAGACCCGGCCCAAACUCCUACGGGAGGCAGCAGUGGGGAAUCUUGCGCAAUGGGCGAAAGCCUGACGCAGCCAUGCCGCGUGAAUGAUGAAGGUCUUAGGAUUGUAAAAUUCUUUCACCGGGGAAGAUAAUGACGGUACCCGGAGAAGAAGCCCCGGCUAACUUCGUGCCAGCAGCCGCCGCGGUAA
rnacentral:rRNA from 1 species